rnacentral:tRNA from 1 species
GCCUGAGUGGCUCAGUCGGUUAAGCAUCUGACUCUUGCUUGCACCUCAGGUCAUGAUCUAAUGGUUUGUGGGAUCAAGUCCCACAUUGGGCC